rnacentral:rRNA from 1 species
AUUGAACGCUGGCGGCAUGCCUUACACAUGCAAGUCGAACGGCAGCACGGGAGCAAUCCUGGUGGCGAGUGGCGAACGGGUGAGUAAUAUAUCGGAACGUGCCCAGUCGUGGGGAUAACGUAGCGAAAGCUACGCUAAUACCGCAUACGAUCUAUGGAUGAAAGCGGGGGAUCGCAAGACCUCGCGCGAUUGGAGCGGCCGAUAUCAGAUUAGGUAGUUGGUGAGGUAAAGGCUCACCAAGCCGACGAUCUGUAGCUGGUCUGAGAGGACGACCAGCCACACUGGGACUGAGACACGGUCCAGACUCCUACGGGAGGCAGCAGUGGGGAAUUUUGGACAAUGGGGGGCAACCCUGAUCCAGCAAUGCCGCGUGAGUGAAGAAGGCCU